rnacentral:rRNA from 1 species
ACGGAGGAUCCGAGCGUUAUCCGGAUUUAUUGGGUUUAAAGGGUGCGUAGGCGGCCUAUUAAGUCAGGGGUGAAAUACGGUGGCUCAACCAUCGCAGUGCCUUUGAUACUGAUGGGCUUGAAUCCAUUUGAAGUGGGCGGAAUAAGACAAGUAGCGGUGAAAUGCAUAGAUAUGUCUUAGAACUCCGAUUGCGAAGGCAGCUCACUAAGCUGGUAUUGACGCUGAUGCACGAAAGCGUGGGGAUCGAACAGGA